UGCUACCGAAUGCCGUCGCCGAGCGUGG
rnacentral:sRNA from 1 species